rnacentral:tRNA from 1 species
CUCGGUGUAGCGCAGUCGGAAGCGCGCAUGCCUUGGGCGCAUGAGGUCGUCCGUUCGAGCCGGACCACCGAGACCA